GCUACCGAUCGAGGAGUGUGUGAAAAGCUUGGAUCAUCGGAGUGACUAAAUCUAGUCAUCAACUUUGGCAAAGGAGAAAUCGCAUAGGAGAUCUCGUCAAGGAAUAUCGCAAAUCAGGUGAGCCUUGAUAUGGGGACUUGGGCCGAAGGGGAUUCAGAGUGGCCACGGUGAUCGCUUUUGGACCUUUAA